rnacentral:rRNA from 1 species
GACGAACGCUGGCGGCGCGCUUAACACAUGCAAGUCGAACGGAAAGGCCUGCUUUCCCUUGUGGAUUGCGGGUACUCGAGUGGCGAACGGGUGAGUAACACGUGAGUGAUCUGCCCCCAACUUGGGUAUAAGCCUGGGAAACUGGGUCUAAUUCCCGAUAGGACUGCAGGGUGGUGCCUGUGGUGGAAAACGAUUUUCUAGUGGUUGGGGAUGAGCUCGCGGCCUAUCAGCUUGUUGGUGGGGUAAUGGCCUACCAAGGCGGCGACGGGUAGCCGGCCUGAGAGGGUGGACGGCCACAUUGGGACUGAGACACGGCCCAGACUCCUACGGGAGGCAGCAGUGGGGAAUAUUGCACAAUGGGCGGAAGCCUGAUGCAGCGACGCCGCGUGGGGGAUGACGGCCUUCGGGUUGUAAACUCCUUUCGACCGCGAGGAAGCCACCUGGUUGGAAGGGUGGUGACGGUAGUGGUAGAAGAAGCACCGGCUAACUACGUG